rnacentral:pre_miRNA from 14 species
AGCCCUUCUUCAUGUGACUCGUGGACUUCCCUUUGUCAUCCUAUGCCUGAGAAUAUAUGAAGGAGGCUGGGAAGGCAAAGGGACGUUCAAUUGUCAUCACUGGC